rnacentral:rRNA from 1 species
AUCCAUAGGUUAAUGAGGCGAACCGGGGGAACUGAAACAUCUAAGUACCCCGAGGAAAAGAAAUCAACCGAGAUUCCCCCAGUAGCGGCGAGCGAACGGGGAGGAGCCCAGAGCCUGAAUCAGUGUGUGUGUUAGUGGAAGCGUCUGGAAAGGCGCGCGAUACAGGGUGACAGCCCCGUACACAAAAAUGCACAUAUUGUGAGCUCGAUGAGUAGGGCGGGACACGUGGUAUCCUGUCUGAAUAUGGGGGGACCAUCCUCCAAGGCUAAAUACUCCUGACUGACCGAUAGUGAACCAGUACCGUGAGGGAAAGGCGAAAAGAACCCCGGCGAGGGGAGUGAAAAAGAACCUGAAACCGUGUACGUACAAGCAGUGGGAGCCUCUUAAUGGGGUGACUGCGUACCUUUUGUAUAAUGGGUCAGCGACUUAUAUUCUGUAGCAAGGUUAACCGAAUAGGGGAGCCGAAGGGAAACCGAGUCUUAACUGGGCGUUAAGUUGCAGGGUAUAGACCCGAAACCCGGUGAUCUAGCCAUGGGCAGGUUGAAGGUUGGGUAACACUAACUGGAGGACCGAACCGACUAAUGUUGAAAAAUUAGCGGAUGACUUGUGGCUGGGGGUGAAAGGCCAAUCAAACCGGGAGAUAGCUGGUUCUCCCCGAAAGCUAUUUAGGUAGCGCCUCGUGAAUUCAUCUCCGGGGGUAGAGCACUGUUUCGGCAAGGGGGUCAUCCCGACUUACCAACCCGAUGCAAACUGCGAAUACCGGAGAAUGUUAUCACGGGAGACACACGGCGGGUGCUAACGUCCGUCGUGAAGAGGGAAACAACCCAGACCGCCAGCUAAGGUCCCAAAGUCAUGGUUAAGUGGGAAACGAUGUGGGAAGGCCCAGACAGCCAGGAUGUUGGCUUAGAAGCAGCCAUCAUUUAAAGAAAGCGUAAUAGCUCACUGGUCGAGUCGGCCUGCGCGGAAGAUGUAACGGGGCUAAACCAUGCACCGAAGCUGCGGCAGCGACACUAUGUGUUGUUGGGUAGGGGAGCGUUCUGUAAGCCUGUGAAGGUGUACUGUGAGGUAUGCUGGAGGUAUCAGAAGUGCGAAUGCUGACAUAAGUAACGAUAAAGCGGGUGAAAAGCCCGCUCGCCGGAAGACCAAGGGUUCCUGUCCAACGUUAAUCGGGGCAGGGUGAGUCGACCCCUAAGGCGAGGCCGAAAGGCGUAGUCGAUGGGAAACAGGUUAAUAUUCCUGUACUUGGUGUUACUGCGAAGGGGGGACGGAGAAGGCUAUGUUGGCCGGGCGACGGUUGUCCCGGUUUAAGCGUGUAGGCUGGUUUUCCAGGCAAAUCCGGAAAAUCAAGGCUGAGGCGUGAUGACGAGGCACUACGGUGCUGAAGCGACAAAUGCCCUGCUUCCAGGAAAAGCCUCUAAGCAUCAGGUAACAUCAAAUCGUACCCCAAACCGACACAGGUGGUCAGGUAGAGAAUACCAAGGCGCUUGAGAGAACUCGGGUGAAGGAACUAGGCAAAAUGGUGCCGUAACUUCGGGAGAAGGCACGCUGAUAUGUAGGUGAAGCGACUUGCUCGUGGAGCUGAAAUCAGUCGAAGAUACCAGCUGGCUGCAACUGUUUAUUAAAAACACAGCACUGUGCAAACACGAAAGUGGACGUAUACGGUGUGACGCCUGCCCGGUGCCGGAAGGUUAAUUGAUGGGGUUAGCGGUAACGCGAAGCUCUUGAUCGAAGCCCCGGUAAACGGCGGCCGUAACUAUAACGGUCCUAAGGUAGCGAAAUUCCUUGUCGGGUAAGUUCCGACCUGCACGAAUGGCGUAAUGAUGGCCAGGCUGUCUCCACCCGAGACUCAGUGAAAUUGAACUCGCUGUGAAGAUGCAGUGUACCCGCGGCAAGACGGAAAGACCCCGUGAACCUUUACUAUAGCUUGACACUGAACAUUGAGCCUUGAUGUGUAGGAUAGGUGGGAGGCUUUGAAGUGUGGACGCCAGUCUGCAUGGAGCCGACCUUGAAAUACCACCCUUUAAUGUUUGAUGUUCUAACGUGGGCCCCUUACCGGGGUUGCGGACAGUGUCUGGUGGGUAGUUUGACUGGGGCGGUCUCCUCCUAAAGAGUAACGGAGGAGCACGAAGGUUGGCUAAUCCUGGUCGGACAUCAGGAGGUUAGUGCAAUGGCAUAAGCCAGCUUGACUGCGAGCGUGACGGCGCGAGCAGGUGCGAAAGCAGGUCAUAGUGAUCCGGUGGUUCUGAAUGGAAGGGCCAUCGCUCAACGGAUAAAAGGUACUCCGGGGAUAACAGGCUGAUACCGCCCAAGAGUUCAUAUCGACGGCGGUGUUUGGCACCUCGAUGUCGGCUCAUCACAUCCUGGGGCUGAAGUAGGUCCCAAGGGUAUGGCUGUUCGCCAUUUAAAGUGGUACGCGAGCUGGGUUUAGAACGUCGUG